rnacentral:lncRNA from 1 species
UUGGGAUUACAAAUGCAAUACGGUCUUUCUCUAAUCUAAUACUCCUGACCACAUUGUUUGGUUUAAUAGUUUAUUUAUUCAUGUCUACUAUCCAAUGUGAUUCGUGUGCUUAUAUGAUUUCCUUGAAGGUGAUUUAGAACGACUUUUCUAAAUCUCAUUCAUACUCUGGCCAGAGAUUCUUAAUCAUAUCAUAGAGUAUUCUCCUUCA